GUCACAUGGCUUGAAAUAGAUAUGAGAUCAUCUUAGCACUGGUUUUCGGGCUCUCCCCAUCCAGCCCCGUCCUGCCGGCACCACACCUGGCCUCGGAGAGAACACGGGAUCGCAUCCCACUGCAAGGAGUGCCCGCAAAAACGAAUGUGAGCAGCUUUUGGGUGCUCAGGCCCAGCCAUGGCAGAACUGUGCCGCACGGACUCCUCGCUGACCACCCUGGACGAGGAGAUGCUGUGGGAGAUGAUGGAGGACCACCGCUGCAGGAUCGUGCGCAGCAUCUGCCCCAGCCGCCUCACCCCCUACCUGCGCCAGGCAAAGGUGCUGGACCAGCUGGACGAGGAGGAGGUGCUGCACAGCCCCAGGUUCACAAACACGGCCAUGAGAGUUGGGCACUUGCUGGAUUUGCUGAAGACUCGAGGGAAGAACGGGGCCAUCGCUUUCCUGGAGAGCCUGAAAUUCCACAACCCUGACGUCUACACCCUGGUCACCGGGCUACAGCCCAGCGUGGACUUCACAAACUUCAGUGGGCUCAUGGAGACGUCCAAGCUGACCGAGUGCCUGGCUGGGGCCAUCGGCAGCCUGCAGGAGGAGCUGAGCCAGGAGAAGGGGCAGAAGGAGGCACUGCUGCGUCAGUGCCAGCAGCUGCAGGAGCACCUGGGCCAGGCCGAGGCCCGUGUCGAGGGCUUGCGCCAGCUGGAGGCCGACCACGGCCGCAUGAAGCGCGAGGUCAGUGCCCACUUCCACGAGGUGCUGAAACUGAAGGAUGAGAUGCUGAGUCUCUCGCUGCACUACAGCAACGCGCUGCAGGAGAAGGAUCUGGCCGCCACGCGCUGCCGUGGCCUGCAAGAGGAGCUGUAUCUGAUGAAGCAAGAGCUGCAGCGAGAGAAGACGUCUUCUUCCUGUGAGCGGGAAUUUCGAGAGCGGUCCCUGAAAAUGACGAAUGACCUGGAGCCUGGAGACGAGGAGCUGAGCCGCCUGAAGGAGGAGAAUGAGAGGCUUCGCUCCCUGACCUUCAGCCUGGCGGAGAAGGACAUUCUGGAGCAGAACCUGGAUGAGGCCCUGGAGAGCAGGCAGGAGCUGGUGAACCGCAUCCACUCUCUGAGGGAGCGGGCCAUGGCCGCUGAGAGACAGCGAAAGCAGUACUGGGAAGAGAAGGAGCAGACCCUGCUCCAGUUCCAGAAAACCAAGGUGGACUGCGAAAUCUACAAGGAGAAGAUGAACGUCCUGCAGAGCCAAGUGGUCGAGCUGCAGAAGGAGCGGGACCAGGCCUACUCGGCGAGGGAUGGAUCCCAGCUGGAGAUGUCUCAGAACCUGGCAGAGAAGGAUGCACUCCGCAGGAAGGUGUUUGAGCUGACAGACCAGGUCUGCGAACUGCGCCAGCAGGUCCAGCGGCUACAAGCGCAGGCCGAGUCGCUGCCAGGGCCCAAGCAGGAGGCGGGAGCCAGGGAGCCCUGUCCGAAGAGGAAGCAGCAGCUGGUGCGCAUGUUUGCCCUCUGCCCGUGGGACGACAGCGACGGCAGCUCCUCUGAGUCUCAGCUCUGGUCUGACCUGAGCGCCACGUCCAGCCGAGAGCUGGUGGAUAGCUUCCACUCCAGCAGCCCUGUGCCUCCCAGCCAGCAGUCCCUGUACAAGCGGGCCGCAGAGGACUUCUGGGAAGACCCCUCGUCUUUCAGUGGCUGCCCCAAAACCCUGGAGGUGGACCAGGGAGGCUCCCUGGGUGCUAAGAAGGGUGAUGCAGAUUUGGAUUAUGAGAUUGUAGACAGGGCAGAUCUCUCUGAGUCCGAGAACAGCCUGCAGCUGUCUUCCAGGGACCUCCACCUCUCCGCCAGCAGUGUCCCGGUGAGGCGGAGGCCAGCCCGCAAGAUCCUGGGCCAGGUCACGGUGCUGGCCUUCCAGGGGGACGCGCUGCUGGAGCAGAUAAGCGUUAUUGGUGGGAACCUCACGGGCAUCUACAUUCAUCGGGUCACCCCGGGCUCCGCGGCAGACGAGAUGGCGUUGUGCCCCGGCACCCAGAUUAUGAUGGUGGAUUACGAGGCAACAGAGCCCUUGUCCAAGGCUGUCCUGGAGGGCAUGACCCUGGAUCGGGCCGUCAGACUUCUCCAGAGGGUGAACGGCUUCUGCUGUCUGUCUGUGAAGGUCAACAUGGAGGGUUAUAAGAAGCUGGUCCAGGACCUAAAGGCCAAAGUGGCCACGUCAGGGGACUCCUUCUACAUCCGGGUCAACCUUGCCCUGGAGAGGCGGGCAGAGGGAGAGCUGCAGGUGCACUGCAACGACAUCCUGCACGUCACAGACACCCUGUUCCAGGGCGGCAGCUGCUGGCACGCCCACCGUGUUGGCCCCUACAGCACCAAGGGCACCGAACAGGGCACCAUCCCCAACUAUGCACGGGCUCAGCAGCUGCUCAUCGCCCUCAUCCAGGACAUGGCUCAUCAGAGCACCAUGGCCCGCAAGCAGCCUUCUGCGGGAGCCCAGAAGCUGGUCCGCAUCGUCAGUAUGGACAGAACAAAGGGCAGCCCUCUGUGGUCAUCCUUUGACGGGGGCCAGUCGGACCCAAGCCAGGUAGAAGACCCCUCCACCGUGUGCUUCUGGGCCGAGAGCUACUUCACCCUGGUGCCCUACACCCUGGUGCACAGCCACAGGCCCAGCCGGCCCCGGCCCGUGCUCUUUGUGCCCAGGGUGGUCGGGAAGAUCCUGAUGGAGAAGCUGUGCCUCCUCCAAGGGUAUAAGAAAUGCCCAGCAGCAUACUUGAGCCAGGAAGAGUAUGAUGCCUCCAGCCAGAGAGGGGACAUCAUCCAGGAGAGGGAGGCGUCUGGUGGUCGCUACUGUGUCACCUGCAGAGCAGUCGAGUCCCUGAUGGGAAAGAACACCCACGCCCUCCUGGACGUCCAGCUGGACAGUGUCCGCGUCCUGCACAAGAUGGAGAUCUUCCCCAUCAUUAUCCACAUCUCCAUCAAUGAGAAAGUGGCAAAGAAAUUCAAGUAGGUGCACCCCUGGGGGCUGGUGGUGAGGUUUGAAUGGGCACCAGAACUCCCCAUAAGGCCCAUGGCGACCACGUCCAGAGCCCGUGAUGGGGUUUCCAGGAUCUCACCUCGUGCCGGCCUUGGAAGUGUCACAGGGCAGUUCCCCUAAAACAUCCAGGACAGAGGUCCUGCAGCCCACCCCCGGGGAGCAACCCAGAGGACAGUAAGGAAGGCUCUGCAGCGGCUCGGCACCACAGAGGACCAGCUCCUGGAGGCUGCCAGGCAAGAGGAGGGUGAGCUGGAUAAAGUGCC